UUGAGCACCAAGAUUGCAAUCUAAGUAUCCGAAGUCAAUUGCGUCAGUGGAGGGUACAAAAUUCCAAAGUUCUGUAUUUAUUACUACAUGGGGGUUCCGCUGCCCAUCCAAUCAUCAAUUUCUGAUCGCUGGAGUGGGUAAAAAGUAUAUAUGAAUGAGUGCCACCUACCAAAUGCAUCAGAAUAAAUUACGGCUUAUAAAGAAGUUUAUAUUUCAGAGUUAUGGGGAAUCUCAAGUUGAAUACGCUGCAAAUAUGACGUCUAUUUUUUUUGUCAAAGAAACAUGUAUUGUAUUGGCUGAUAAGGAUAUUGUGUCUGCAGAAAUCGGAAACUUGAGCUGGAAACUUAUCGAGAUGCUAUAUAAUACUUAUGCGAUGUUUAUACGUAAGCAAAAGUUUCCCGAAUCUUCCAUCGUCGAAUCGAUUUGAAUUUCAAGUAUGAAGGAAAACACUGGGUUGAAUACCCAUUUUAUCCGAAAACGUGCUUUCGAGAAGGUCUCAGUUUGGCUUAUCAAUGUUAUGACUACUUUAAAUAUCCAAAGAAAUCAAAUAUCAAAUAUCAAACAUAUGGGAAAUAUUAAAUAUUUCCCAUAUCAACUACAAUACAUUAUU
rnacentral:sRNA from 1 species